CCUACGGGCGGCAGCAGUGGGGAAUAUUGCACAAUGGGGGAAACCCUGAUGCAGCGACGCCGCGUGAGUGAAGAAGUAAUUCGUUACGUAAAGCUCUAUCAGCAGGGAAGAAACACUGACCUUACGGUCAGCAGACGGUACCUGAGUAAGAAGCCCCGGCUAACUACGUGCCAGCAGCCGCGGUAAUACGUAGGGGGCAAGCGUUAUCCGGAUUUACUGGGUGUAAAGGGAGCGUAGACGGUGCGCCAAGUCUGUAGUGAAAUGCCGCAGCUUAACUGCGGAACUUCUUUGGAAACUGGCGAACUAGAGUGCGGGAGGGGUAAGCGGAAUUCCUAGUGUAGCGGUGAAAUGCGUAGAUAUUAGGAGGAACACCGGUGGCGAAGGCGGCUUACUGGACCGUAACUGACGUUGAGGCUCGAAAGCGUGGGGAGCAAACAGGAUUAGAUACCCCAGUAGUC
rnacentral:rRNA from 1 species